CGCUGAUGGAUGGACCCGCGGUGCAUUAGCUAGUUGGUGAGGUAACGGCUCACCAAGGCCACGAUGCAUAGCCGACCUGAGAGGGUGAUCGGCCACAUUGGGACUGAGACACGGCCCAAACUCCUACGGGAGGCAGCAGUAGGGAAUCUUCGGCAAUGGACGAAAGUCUGACCGAGCAACGCCGCGUGAGUGAAGAAGGUUUUCGGAUCGUAAAACUCUGUUGUUAGAGAAGAACAAGGGUGAGAGUAACUGUUCACCCCUUGACGGUAUCUAACCAGAAAGCCACGGCUAACUACGUGCCAGCAGCCGCGGUAAUACGUAGGUGGCAAGCGUUGUCCGGAUUUAUUGGGCGUAAAGCGAGCGCAGGCGGUUUCUUAAGUCUGAUGUGAAAGCCCCCGGCUCAACCGGGGAGGGUCAUUGGAAACUGGGAGACUUGAGUGCAGAAGAGGAGAGUGGAAUUCCAUGUGUAGCGGUGAAAUGCGUAGAUAUAUGGAGGAACACCAGUGGCGAAGGCGGCUCUCUGGUCUGUAACUGACGCUGAGGCUCGAAAGCGUGGGGAGCAAACAGGAUUAGAUACCCUGGUAGUCCACGCCGUAAACGAUGAGUGCUAAGUGUUGGAGGGUUUCCGCCCUUCAGUGCUGCAGCUAACGCAUUAAGCACUCCGCCUGGGGAGUACGACCGCAAGGUUGAAACUCAAAGGAAUUGACGGGGGCCCGCACAAGCGGUGGAGCAUGUGGUUUAAUUCGAAGCAACGCGAAGAACCUUACCAGGUCUUGACAUCCUUUGACCACUCUAGAGAUAGAGCUUCCCCUUCGGGGGCAAAGUGACAGGUGGUGCAUGGUUGUCGUCAGCUCGUGUCGUGAGAUGUUGGGUUAAGUCCCGCAACGAGCGCAACCCUUAUUGUUAGUUGCCAUCAUUUAGUUGGGCACUCUAGCAAGACUGCCGGUGACAAACCGGAGGAAGGUGGGGAUGACGUCAAAUCAUCAUGCCCCUUAUGACCUGGGCUACACACGUGCUACAAUGGGAAGUACAACGAGUCGCGAAGUCGCGAGGCUAAGCUAAUCUCUUAAAGCUUCUCUCAGUUCGGAUUGUAGGCUGCAACUCGCCUACAUGAAGCCGGAAUCGCUAGUAAUCGCGGAUCAGCACGCCGCGGUGAAUACGUUCCCGGGCCUUGUACACACCGCCCGUCACACCACGAGAGUUUGUAACACCCGAAGUCGGUGAGGUAACCUUUUUGGAGCCAGCCGCCUAAGGUGGGAUAGAUGAUUGGGGUGAAGUCGUAACAAGGUAGCCGUAUCGGAAGGUGCGGCUGGAUCACCUCCUUUCU
rnacentral:rRNA from 1 species